rnacentral:rRNA from 1 species
UAUCUGGUUGAUCCUGCCAGUAGUCAUAUGCUUGUCUCAAAGAUUAAGCCAUGCAUGUCUAAGUACAAGCCUAACUAAGGUGAAACCGCGAAUGGCUCAUUAAAUCACACCUAAUCUACUGGAUACUAGUCAGUUACUUGGAUACCUGAGGUAAUUCUUCAGCUAAUACAUGCACACAAGCCUCGAACUUACGUGAGAGGCGCUUUUAUUAGAUCAAAACCAGUCGCUUUCGAGCGUCCCUUUGGUGACUCUGAAUAACUUUGGGCUGAUCGCAUGGCCUCGAGCCGGCGACAUAUCCUUCGAAGGUGUGCCCUAUCAACUGUCGACUGUGGCAUAGACGCCCACAGUGGUUUUGACGGGUAACGGGGAAUCAGGGUUCGAUUCCGGAGAGGGAGCCUUAAAAACGGCUACCACAUCCAAGGAAGGCAGCAGGCACGCAAAUUACCCAAUGACCGAAGGUCGAGGUAGUGACGAAAAAUAACGAUACAGGACUCAUCCGAGGCCCUGUAAUCGGAAUGAAUUAACUUUAAAACCGUACAUGAGGAUCUAUUGGAGGGCAAAGUCUGGUGCCACAGCCGCGGUAAUUCAGCUUCAAUAGCGUAUAUUAAAGUUGUUGCGGUAAAAAGCUCGUAGUUGGAUCUCGGCGGGUAGAAAGCCGGUACACUGCUAAGUGGUACUGGCUUAUACCCGAGUUUUUGGUAAAGG